UACGGAGGGUGCAAGCGUUGUUCGGAAUUAUUGGGCGUAAAGCGCGUGUAGGCGGUUUUUUAAGUCUGAUGUGAAAGCCCCGGGCUCAACCUGGGAAGUGCAUUGGAAACUGUCAGACUUGAAUACGGGAGAGGGUAGUGGAAUUCCUAGUGUAGGAGUGAAAUCCGUAGAUAUUAGGAGGAACACCGGUGGCGAAGGCGGCUACCUGGACUGAUACUGACACUGAGGUGCGAAAGCGUGGGGAGCAAACAGGAUUAGAUACCCUAGUAGU
rnacentral:rRNA from 1 species